rnacentral:lncRNA from 1 species
AUGGCAGUUGCAGCAGGGAUGCUAAUGGGACCACUGAGAAGAGAGAAGCAAGAGUGGGCCACUGGCUCCUAUCUCUCCCAUGAAAUGUGGGCAGCUUUCCCCUCUCUAGACCUGGGCCUCCCCAUUGGAAAGGAGCACUUUGGUCUGUAUAGUCAGGCCACCUCAGGCUCUCGUACCCCAGUUUGGGAUCACUGCAUCUGCUUUCUCGGGAACAGAUCAGUAUUUCUAUGGCAAGGGAGGCUGGAGAAGAGUCUCUGCAGGACCAAGAAGAGGCCCCUUUGCUCACUUGCAUCUGGGAAAGAGGGUUGCAAUUUGCAUGAAAGAGGCAGGCAGCAGUACACAGAUGGCAGCUCUGUAAUUGUAUUUCUGUGCCUCACAGCUCCUGGAGCACUGCAUCUGGGACUGCUGGGUUCCUUCAAACUCAGUUCCAGGGAGACCAGGACUGAGAAGAACUGGCUUGCUGAAGGUCCCUCCUGCACCUACGUGGAAGGCCCGAGAGGUCAACUACUGCCCAGGGAUGCAGCCUGGGGCCCAGUGUGGACCUUUGCAUAUCCUGGAGACUGUUACAAUCUGCCUUCAAACCCUCUUACUUCACAGUGUUAUCCAGAAUCCUGUUUUGAUGGCGCCCUGACCCUAGCCCUCAGGAUGGGGCUCACUCAUCCAAAAUCCCAGAGGAAACCAGCACUUGGGGCCUGGUCAUAGAAGAAGAGCCCCAGAUUCAAAUACCAUUACUCCUUUGCAGUUUGGAGGCUGUUUCAAUCAGCCUGCAUAAAGUGCCUGCAUUGUACCCUGCUUGUUAUCUUCAUGCUUUCCUCAUUUAUCCAUCCAGCUGGAGCAAUUUCAGGAGCAUUCCUUGUCAUUCUGUGCAUCAUUUUAAUUUAGUCUUUUUUUUUUUUUUAAUGUAUGCCUGCCUGGCCCCAGCAGUAUAUUUUUCAGAAAGGUGGUUUUGUUUCUAAGGCAACUGAGGGGUCUAUUGUAAUCAAAUAUUGAGCCCCAUUCAAUUGCAAUCUUCUCAUCCUCCCACAGUCUGCUCUGAUUUUUAUGCUGUAUAUUGUGCUGCUUUUCUUCUGCAUCCUCAAUCAGGCAGUCACAUUCAUUUCACUGUAUUGUGCAGAAGCUGCUUAGAAUGCUACUCUAAAUGGCCUAAGAAUAGGCACUAAAAACUUGAUGUCCAUCUCAAAUGCUGAAGUCAAAAUGCACGUGCCCAAUUUCCUUUUUAAAGAACAAAAACCUGGCACAAAAACAGACACUCAGAUCAAUGGAACAGAAUAGAGAACCCAGAAAUGGACCCACAAACGUUUGGCCAACUAAUCUUUGACAAAGCAGGAAGGAAUAUCCAAUGGAAUAAAGACAGUCUCUUUAGCA